rnacentral:rRNA from 1 species
UACAGAGAGUGCAAACGUUGUUCGGAAUCACUGGGCAUAAAGCGCACGUAGGCGGCGCCACAAGUGCGGGGUGAAAUCCCACGGCUCACCCGUGGAACUGCCUGGUAUACUGUGGUGCUAGAGGAUGGUAGGGGAGAGCGGAACUCCAGGUGGAGCGGUGAAAUGCGUAGAGAUCUGGAGGAACACCGGUGGCGAAGGCGGCUCUCUGGUCCAUGACUGACGCUGAGGUGCGAAAGCUAGGGGAGCAAACGGG